rnacentral:rRNA from 1 species
GGAACGGGCCCCUUUCUAGACGACUCAGAAUUAGUUUAGGGAAUAGCAGCUCCAAAGCGGGUUGGUAAAUUCCAUCUAAGGCUAAAUACUGGCGAGAGACCGAUAGCGAACAAGUACUGUGAAGGAAAGAUGAAAGCACUUUGAAAAGAGAGUGAAACAGCAAGUGAAAUUGUUGAAAGGGAAGGGUAUUGCGCCCGACAUGGGGAUUGCGCACCGCUGCCUCUCGUGGGCGGCGCUCUGGGCUUUCCCUGGGCCAGCAUCGGUUCUUGCUGCAGGAAAAGGGGUUCUGGAACGUGGCUCUUCGGAGUGUUAAACCCAGGGCCAGAUGCUGCGUGCGGGGACCGAGUACUGCGGCCGUGUAAGUCACGGAUGCUGGCAAAACGGCGCAACACCGCCCGUCUUGAAAACCGGACG